rnacentral:rRNA from 1 species
GCGUUAAGUUGCAGGGUAUAGACCCGAAACCCGGUGAUCUAGCCAUGGGCAGGUUGAAGGUUGGGUAACACUAACUGGAGGACCGAACCGACUAAUGUUGAAAAAUUAGCGGAUGACCUGUGGCUGGGGGUGAAAGGCCAAUCAAACCGGGAGAUAGCUGGUUCUCCCCGAAAGCUAUUUAGGUAGCGCCUCGUGAAUUCAUCUCCGGGGGUAGAGCACUGUUUCGGCUAGGGGGCCAUCCCGGCUUACCAACCCGAUGCAAACUGCGAAUACCGGAGAAUGUUAUCACGGGAGACACACGGCGGGUGCUAACGUCCGUCGUGAAGAGGGAAACAACCCAGACCGCCAGCUAAGGUCCCAAAGUCAUGGUUAAGUGGGAAACGAUGUGGGAAGGCCCAGACAGCCAGGAUGUUGGCUUAGAAGCAGCCAUCAUUUAAAGAAAGCGUAAUAGCUCACUGGUCGAGUCGGCCUGCGCGGAAGAUGUAACGGGGCUAAACCAUG